GCGGCGGACGGGUGAGUAACACGUGGGUAACCUGCCCAUAAGACUGGGAUAACUCCGGGAAACCGGGGCUAAUACCGGAUAACAUUUUGCACCGCAUGGUGCGAAAUUGAAAGGCGGCUUCGGCUGUCACUUAUGGAUGGACCCGCGUCGCAUUAGCUAGUUGGUGAGGUAACGGCUCACCAAGGCAACGAUGCGUAGCCGACCUGAGAGGGUGAUCGGCCACACUGGGACUGAGACACGGCCCAGACUCCUACGGGAGGCAGCAGUAGGGAAUCUUCCGCAAUGGACGAAAGUCUGACGGAGCAACGCCGCGUGAGUGAUGAAGGCUUUCGGGUCGUAAAACUCUGUUGUUAGGGAAGAACAAGUGCUAGUUGAAUAAGCUGGCACCUUGACGGUACCUAACCAGAAAGCCACGGCUAACUACGUGCCAGCAGCCGCGGUAAUACGUAGGUGGCAAGCGUUAUCCGGAAUUAUUGGGCGUAAGCCCGCGCAGGUGGUUUCUUAAGUCUGAUGGGAAAGCCCCCGGCUCACCCGUGGAGGUCCUUGGAAACUGGGAAACUUGAUUGCAAAAAGAAAAUGGAAUUCCUUGUUACCGGGAAAUGCNUUAAAAUUGGAGAANCCCCUGGGGAANGGNACUUUCNGGUUGUAAUUGAACUGGGGGCCCAAAACUUGGGGAAAACAGUUUUAANNCCCUGGUAAAA
rnacentral:rRNA from 1 species